UUUAGGUAGGUAUCUGGUUCAGAAGGUUACUGAAACUCAGGUUUGUUUGUUUUCUGUAAGGAGAGGAGGGCCAGAGAGGAGAGAGGCAUAAAGCCUUAGAUGAAGAAGGAACUCGAAAGACAACAGCAGCUGCUGACAUAAGGAUCUAAAGGUCCUGUCCAACUGGAGCAUAACCAUCGAUGUCAUCUUGCAAAAUGUAUUAGAUCAUUUAUUUUCUUUCAAUAUGGAGUACCUACUACGCAUCAAGAUGGUAAGGAGGGAAGAAUAAUUUUGGCUUUCUACACAAAGAUCAGAAUCACAGGAGGAUGAUAGGUAAUGAAUGCACAUAACAGCUGAAUGUGUGGUUAGUGCCAGGACAGGGCUGAAGGCUGAGAGAAUGAACUAGGUAAUUGUUAAUGCUGCAGUACAAAGACGAGGCCAAUUUAUCCUAACAAUCAGUCCAUACAAUUCAAUAAGUGGAGCACAUAAAAUAUAUUAUCUUAGGGCAGUGCCUUAAUAAAAGACAUUUAACAGAGGCACACAGUACAGAAUUUAUGGAAAAUCAGAGAACAUAUAUUUAACACAACACUUUUCUUUUAAUCCAAUCACUUUAGACAAGUAACUCAACUGCUUGGAUGGAUGCCAAGAAAAGCGUUCUUUAAAAGGUUGCUAUUCUAUUACAAACCAUGUUCUAUUGUACUUUGCUAUAGACUAAUUUUAUAAGCUGGAUAGUGUUUGCAGGGUUUUAAAAGAAGCCAUAAAUCCC
rnacentral:lncRNA from 1 species